rnacentral:rRNA from 1 species
UACGGGGGGGGGCAAGCGUUGUUCGGAAUUACUGGGCGUAAAGGGCUCGUAGGCGGCCAACUAAGUCAGACGUGAAAUCCCUCGGCUUAACCGGGGAACUGCAUCUGAUACUGGAUGGCUUGAGAUUGGGAGAGGGAUGCGGAAUUCCAGGUGUAGCGGUGAAAUGCGUUGAUAUCAUCUGGAACUCCGGUGGCGAAGGCGGCACGCUGGACCUCAUCUGACGCUGAGGCGCGAAAGCUAGGGGGAGCAAACGGG